UUUCAAAAAUCAGACAAUCACAUAAAAUAUAGAUGGAGAUACAAUAUUAACAAACUUAGAUGAGAUUCAUAAUCAACAAAUUUAAAACGCUAUUCUAACUCUUGGGACUCAUUAAUGUCAGAACCCGUCAAUCCCUUCUUCUGUUCAUUGUCCCCACUAGAACCGCUUUCAAACUCAUUAUCAGAUUCCAAAUAUAUCAAUCUGCUUACUCCUGUUAGGAAAAUGAUAAGCAAAAAGGCAAGUGGUGGAGACCCAUUAACGUUUAUUUUUAACUAAUAAAGGACUUUGAACAAAAUCAAAUACAAAAUCAGAUUAUCACCCAAAAUAAGCCAAAAUCACCAACAUUAUAUAAUUUUCAUUUCAAAUUAAAUUUAAGAUGAAUAAUAAAAUCCAAAUUACAACCUUAACAUUAAACCAAACUUCAACGAAAAACAAAUGGAAGUAAAGAGGAAAGGAACAGACCAGAGAGCUUGUGAUCUUCAAGUUGCAGAUCUAAAACCCUAACAGCAGGGCCAGCAUUGGAGACCCUAACGACCGAAGGCUCGGACACUUUUGCAGCAGGAUUUAGGUAAGUAUUGGAGCGAGAUAGUGUUGGAAGACCCCACUUUGAUUUUACCGAAACAAAGAAAGCGUGGGAUCAAUUGGAUGAAAUUGAACGGGAACAAAUGCACCAAAAACGAAGAAGACAGAGUGAAUUGGAUUGGGUGAGUCUAAGUGUCCAUGUGAACACUAUUGGAAAGACCCUCUAUCCCUAUUCUAGUUCAUCAUUAUUCUUUUCAAAAAAAGAAUAACAUAUGCUUACCUUGGGAUGUAUCGGAAAACACAGAUAUUGGAACAAAGUCUUUUAUCAUGUCCAUGGAAUAACACCUUAGGGAGGGAGAGAGGAAAGUCAUGAAAUUGAAGGAGAAGAGGAGAGUCGUGAGAUUAAAAGAGACAGGAUAGCGCGAUUGGAGGGGGAGAGGAGAGUCGGAAGACUGAAAGAGAGAGAUUUUAGUUUUAAGAAUUUAUAUUUUAAAGUCAAAAUUUUAA
rnacentral:lncRNA from 1 species